GAUGAACGCUAGCUACAGGCUUAACACAUGCAAGUCGAGGGGAAACGGCAUCGAAAGCUUGCUUUUGAUGGGCGUCGACCGGCGCACGGGUGAGUAACGCGUAUCCAACCUGCCCAUCACUUGGGAAUAACCUUGCGAAAGUAAGACUAAUGCCCAAUGACAUCCCACGAAGGCAUCCGAAUGGGAUUAAAGAUUUAUCGGUGAUGGAUGGGGAUGCGUCUGAUUAGCUUGUUGGCGGGGUGACGGCCCACCAAGGCAACGAUCAGUAGGGGUUCUGAGAGGAAGGUCCCCCACGUUGGAACUGAGACACGGUCCAAACUCCUACGGGAGGCAGCAGUGAGGAAUAUUGGUCAAUGGGCGAGAGCCUGAACCAGCCAAGUAGCGUGCAGGAUGACGGCCCUAUGGGUUGUAAACUGCUUUUAUAAGGGAAUAAAGUGGGUCACGUGUGACUUUUUGCAUGUACCUUAUGAAUAAGGACCGGCUAAUUCCGUG
rnacentral:rRNA from 1 species